rnacentral:rRNA from 1 species
UACGUAGGGUGCGAGCGUUAAUCGGAAUUACUGGGCGUAAAGCGUGCGCAGGCGGUUCGUUAAGUUCGAUGUGAAAGCCCCGGGCUCAACCUGGGAACUGCAUUGGAAACUGGCGAGCUUGAAUGCGGCAGAGGGGGGUGGAAUUCCGCGUGUAGCAGUGAAAUGCGUAGAGAUGCGGAGGAACACCGAUGGCGAAGGCAGCCCCCUGGGCUAAGACUGACGCUGAGACACGAAAGCGUGGGGAGCAAACAGG